UUCACUCUGUUGCUCAGUAGAAACCACAGGCUUAGUGUUUUCACUUUGUUGCUCAGUAGAAACCACAGGCUUAGUGUUUUUCACUUUGUUGCUAGGUAGAAACCACAGGCUUAGUGUUUUCACUCUGUUGCUCAGUAGAAACCACAGGCUUAGUGUUUUCACUCUGUUGCUCAGUAGAAACCACAGGCUUAGUGUUUUCACUCUGUUGCUCAGUAGAAACCACAGGCGUAGUGUUUUCACUCUGUUGCUCAGUAGAAACCACAGGCUUAGUGUUUUCACUCUGUUGCUAGGUAGAAACCACAGGCUUAGUGUUUUCACUCUGUUGCUAGGUAGAAACCACAGGCGUAGUGUUUUCACUCUGUUGCUCAGUAGAAACCACAGGCGUAGUGUUUUCACUCUGUUGCUCAGUAGAAACCACAGGCGUAGUGUUUUCACUCUGUUGCUAGGUAGAAACCACAGGCGUAGUGUUUUCACUCUGUUGCUCAGUAGAAACCACAGGCUUAGUGUUUUCACUCUGUUGCUCAGUAGAAACCACAGGCGUAGUGUUUUCACUCUGUUGCUAGGUAGAAACCACAGGCUUAGUGUUUUCACUCUGUUGCUAGGUAGAAACCACAGGCUUAGUGUUUUCACUCUGUUGCUAGGUAGAAACCACAGGCUUAGUGUUUUCACUCUGUUGCUAGGUAGAAACCACAGGCUUAGUGUUUUCACUCUGUUGCUAGGUAGAAACCAC